rnacentral:rRNA from 1 species
GACGAACGCUGGCGGCGUGCUUAACGCAUGCAAGUCGAACGAUGAAGCGGGUGCUUGCACUCGUGGAUUAGUGGCGAACGGGCGAGUAACACGUGAGUAACCUGUCCUUUUCUUUGGGAUAACGGCUGGAAACGGCUGCUAAUACUGGAUAUUCAGGCUGCAUCGCAUGGUGUGGUUUGGAAAGGUUUUUUCUGGGAUUGGGUGGGCUCGCGGCCUAUCAGCUUGUUGGUGGGGUGAUGGCUUACCAAGGCUUUGACGGGUAGCCGGCCUGAGAGGGUGGUCGGUCGCACUGGGACUGAGAUACGGCCCAGACUCCUACGGGAGGCAGCAGUGGGGAAUAUUGCACAAUGGACGAAAGUUUGAUGCAGCGACGCCGCGUGGAGGGUGUAGGCCUUCGGGUUGUGAACUCCUUUUUCUCGCGAAAAAGGCACAGUUUUGGCUGUGUUGAUGGUAGUGGGGGAAGAAGCGCCGGCUAACUACG